CAGUAGCCACGGUAAUACGAAGGGUGCAAGCGUUACUCGGAAUUACUGGGCGUAAAGCGUGCGUAGGUGGUGGUUUAAGUCCGUUGUGAAAGCCCUGGGCUCAACCUGGGAGUUGCAGUGGAUACUGGGUCACUAGAGUGUGGUAGAGGAUAGUGGAAUUUCCGGUGUAGCAGUGAAAUGCGUAGAGAUCGGAAGGAACAUCUGUGGCGAAGGCGACUAUCUGGGCCAACACUGACACUGAGGCACGAAAGCGUGGGGAGCGAACAGGAUUAGAUACCCCCGUAGUCCCUGUCUCUUAUAC
rnacentral:rRNA from 1 species